rnacentral:rRNA from 1 species
GACGAACGCUGGCGGCGUGCUUAACACAUGCAAGUCGAGCGGUAAGGCCCUUUCGGGGGUACACGAGCGGCGAACGGGUGAGUAACACGUGGGUGACCUGCCCUCAGCUCUGGGAUAAGCCCGGGAAACUGGGUCUAAUACCGGAUAUGACUUCAUGACGCAUGUUGUGGAGUGGAAAGCCUUGUGCGGCUGAGGAUGGGCCCGCGGCCUAUCAGCUUGUUGGUGGGGUGAGGCCUACCAAGGCGACGACGGGUAGCCGGCCUGAGAGGGCGACCGGCCACACUGGGACUGAGAUACGGCCCAGACUCCUAC